rnacentral:lncRNA from 1 species
AUCCUUUCUUCCUUACCCCUGACCCCACCAUGGCAUCUCGGUGCCCAUGCCCACUCAACCCCUAGUGCACCCACGCCCACACACCCUGGUGUGCCCGUGCUCCCGCAACAUCGAGCCCUAGUGCCUUUCGCCUUCACAACUGCGUUCGCACAAAGUAGCCCAUGUGUCAUUGCUCGCCGACUAGCCCCCACAUCUUGUUCAUCUCCGGUGCCACCGUCUCACCAUCUCAUGCCUUGCCUGCUCCAGUGC